UCAGACAUGUUUUAGUGGUAACAUUGCCUCUUUGAUUAUGUAGUAGAAAACUGAUUGGCGAGGAGGCGGUCCCGGGUUCGGAUCCCGGUGUCUGAG